rnacentral:rRNA from 1 species
GAUGAACGCUGGCGGCGUGCCUAAUACAUGCAAGUCGAGCGAACAGACGAGGAGCUUGCUCCUCUGACGUUAGCGGCGGACGGGUGAGUAACACGUGGAUAACUUACCUAUAAGACUGGGAUAACUUCGGGAAACCGGAGCUAAUACCGGAUAAUAUAUUGAACCGCAUGGUUCAAUAGUGAAAGACGGUUUUGCUGUCACUUAUAGAUGGAUCCGCGCCGCAUUAGCUAGUUGGUAAGGUAACGGCUUACCAAGGCAACGAUGCGUAGCCGACCUGAGAGGGGGGUCGGCCACACUGGAACUGAGACACGGUCCAGACUCCUACGGGAGGCAGCAGUAGGGAAUCUUCCGCAAUGGGCGAAAGCCUGACGGAGCAACGCCGCGUGAGUGAUGAAGGUCUUCGGAUCGUAAAACUCUGUUAUUAGGGAAGAACAAAUGUGUAAGUAACUAUGCACGUCUUGACGGUACCUAAUCAGAAAGCCACGGCUAACUACGUG